UGGCUCAGGAUGAACGCUAGCGACAGGCUUAACACAUGCAAGUCGAGGGGCAGCGGUGGUGAAGGCUUGCCUUUACCAGCCGGCGACCGGCGCACGGGUGAGUAACACGUAUGCAACCUGCCUGCCACAGCCGGAUAAUCGGGAGAAAUUCCGUCUAAUACGGCAUAAUGCAUCGACGGGACAUCCUGUUGGUGCCAAAGGUUGAUUCCGGUGGCGGAUGGGCAUGCGUCGCAUUAGUUAGUUGGCGGUGUAACGGACCACCAAGACGACGAUGCGUAGGGGUUCUGAGAGGAAGGUCCCCCACACUGGUACUGAGACACGGACCAGACUCCUACGGGAGGCAGCAGUGAGGAAUAUUGGUCAAUGGGCGGGAGCCUGAACCAGCCAAGUCGCGUGAGGGAUGACGGCCCUAUGGGUUGUAAACCUCUUUUGCCGGGGAGCAAAGUGCCGCACGUGUGCGGUUUGGAGAGUACCCGGAGAAAAAGCAUCGGCUAACUCCGUGCCAGCAGCCGCGGUAAUACGGAGGAUGCGAGCGUUAUCCGGAUUUAUUGGGUUUAAAGGGUGCGUAGGCGGACGCUUAAGUCAGCGGUAAAAUUGCGGGGCUCAACCUCGUCGAGCCGUUGAAACUGGGUGCCUUGAGUGGGCGAGAAGUACGCGGAAUGCGUGGUGUAGCGGUGAAAUGCAUAGAUAUCACGCAGAACUCCGAUUGCGAAGGCAGCGUACCGGCGCCCAACUGACGCUGAAGCACGAAGGCGUGGGUAUCGAACAGGAUUAGAUACCCUGGUAGUCCACGCAGUAAACGAUGAAUGCUAGUUGUCCGGGGCGAUUGAGUUCUGGGUGACACAGCGAAAGCGUAAGCAUUCCACCUGGGGAGUACGCCGGCAACGGUGAAACUCAAAGGAAUUGACGGGGGCCCGCACAAGCGGAGGAACAUGUGGUUUAAUUCGAUGAUACGCGAGGAACCUUACCCGGGCUCAAACGCAGGAGAGAUGUUUUUGAAAGGAGGCAGCCAGCAAUGGUCUCCUGCGAGGUGCUGCAUGGUUGUCGUCAGCUCGUGCCGUGAGGUGUCGGCUUAAGUGCCAUAACGAGCGCAACCCCUACCUACAGUUGCCAUCGCGUGAUGGCGGGCACUCUGUGGGGACUGCCUGCGCAAGCAGUGAGGAAGGCGGGGAUGACGUCAAAUCAGCACGGCCCUUACGUCCGGGGCGACACACGUGUUACAAUGGCAGGUACAGCGGGAAGCCACCCGGCGACGGGGCGCGGAACCCGAAAACCUGUCUCAGUUCGGAUUGGAGUCUGCAACCCGACUCCAUGAAGCUGGAUUCGCUAGUAAUCGCGCAUCAGCCACGGCGCGGUGAAUACGUUCCCGGGCCUUGUACGCACCGCCCGUCAAGCCAUGGAAGCACGGGGGUGCCUGAAGUGCAAGACCGCAAGGAGCGCCCUAGGGUAAAACUCGGUGACUGAGAAUGGAGUCGUAACAAGGUA
rnacentral:rRNA from 1 species